CAAGGCAGAAUUGGCCUUGAAUAAGGGGAAGAGAGAUCUCCUUGGAAGCAGGGGUGAAGGAGGAGAAGAUGGAGUAGAUUCAGGAGUGUCUGUCAAUUUGGUGGUACGAAGCUGGGAGAGUUUCUUUAGUGUGGAUUCUAUUAACUAUGUGGAGUAAGCGGUAAGGUUGUCUGCUGGGAGGCUGAAGGGGAAAGUGAGAUUUAUGUAAUGGACCAGCAGCAGAUGAAGAUUAGGAAGAACUUCACCAAAAGAAUGAAGGAAUGAGUGGAGUCACCAACAUCCGUGUAGCAUUUCAUAACUUAUAAAUCACCCCUGUAUAUUUCCUUUCAUUUGAUCCUUAUUUCAACCACACUAGUUGGGUGAUAUUAUCCUCCAUCUUUCAGAUGAGAAUAAGGUUUAAAUUGAGUUCAAAUUAUUCUGGGACCCACACCCUCUCAAAAGGACUCCAGGGAGCCAAGGCAGCACUCCACCCUAACCAGCUUAGUGUUUUUUGUCUUUGUAGGUCUCCACUGUUUCUGAAUCCCCUUCCUACAUUUGGAGAAUAUGUCAUCAUGUGAUUCUUGGUGUGAGCGGAGCUGGCCUCUCAGCAGUGAAGUCUAGAAGGCCGGUUACCUGACCUCCGGGGCCCCUCUGGUGUCCAGUAUGCAGGAGACUGCCCCAUGCUCCAGCAAUCACAUGACCCUUCCUGAACUGUGAGGCUAGGAAACAGGGAUAGUGGAGGAUGCUUUGGGGGGGGGGGAGGUGGUAGCAGUGGCAGUGGCAGCAGCAUUGGGUUUCCAGGGGCUGUGCCAGAGAUGAAGUCACAUGCAGCAGUGACGCAGACUGAGGGAAACUUUCCAAACUGUCUGCAGGGAGCUGGGGUUGUGCUUCGUCGGCCUUCUUUCUUUGGUGUCUGCCUGUUCUCGGAGCCUUUCUCCAGCCAUUCUGAAGAGUUUGUGAGCUGCCCAGUAUCCUCUCAGUCAAGUCCACUUCUGCUCUGUUCAACCAGAGUCAUUUCUGCUGUUUGUGACCAACAACCCUGACUGGUACACUGGUUUAACCCAAAAGCUUAGUUCUGUCCGAGAAAAGAGCCUGCAGUUCACCUUGGUGUAUUUAAGUUCUCAACAUUCAAGUUAUGUAGAAGACCCCAGAUUAAGGAGUGGGCACUGACACUCAUCCUGCUUGCUCAGGAAACUGUGCCUCAUUCAGACUGUACCAUCAGAGGAGAACAGGAAUUCUUACAAACAGGAGGACACCUUACUCAUGCAUUAGGUGUUUUCACGUGACUUGGAGGAGUUUGAGGGUGGAAUGACCCAUGUGUCAGAAGCUUAGGAGCAAAUCAGGAAGCAGUGUUGAACCAUUGGGUUGACUUUGCCACCUGAGGGUCAGGGAUAGUCUUCAGUUUUUCAGAGAUGGCUUAAGUCUCAAAAGUCUGUGUGGUAUUUAUUUGCCAUUGACACCAGGCUUGCCAAAAAUCUCAUUCUGACUGUUGGAAGGCUAGCUGGAGAGUGGUUGAUUGGUGAUGUCUGCCAUGAGUGCAGGGAUGGGGGCUUGUGCCGAUCCCUGAUUUAGAUCCAGAUCUUGGAGGCAGAAGCUCAUGAAGGGCACAUCAAGGUUAGCCCCAGCUUCAUGUAGUUAUAUUUAUGAGUUCCCCUUUGGCAGAUGAAGUAGCCAAGACCUAUAUUAUCACCAUUGAAGCUCAAACCAAGAUGGAAUACAGGCCUUGUAUUUUCCUUUACUUCCUAGCAUGGAAUCCUUACGUGGCAUUAGGGGAUCUGGCAAACUGUCCUCUACUCCCUCUGUUGUUCAUCUACAAAGGGCAUUUGUUUUUGAGAAAUUCAUAAAGCAACAAUUAUAGUUAUUAUUACACAUCAGUGUUAGAAAACUGAUAGCUCAAAUGAAACAAAAGUAAGCAGAGAAAUAGAUCAUUUGACUAAUACAAAGAAAAGCUUGAGCUAUUACAAUUGUGUAGAACUCUACACCCAGCAAUAGAAAAUGCAACUCUUUUUGGACACACGAGAAACUCUUGUAAAAACUGAUCAUAUACUAGGCUGCAAAGGAAGCCUCAAUAAAUUCCAAGGAAUGAUAAUUAUCUAGAUUAUAUUGUCUGAUCAUAAUGCUAUAAAACCAAAAGUUAAAAUAAAGUUACCAAGAAAAAUUCCAAAUGUCUGAAAACUAAAUAAUAUUACUAAGAAACUCUUGGAUUAAAAGGGAGAUUUACUUGUUAAAUUUCUAAUAAUCAUGAGAAAAAUUAGUAAAAAUAAAAAUAAUACUGAAAAAAAAUAAGAAUACUCUGUAUCCAGUUAAGUGGGGGCAUAGCUAAAACAGUUGUCAGAGGAGAAUCUUGCUUUAAAUCUGUUUUUCAGGAAACAAAGAUGAUUAACAUUGAAUGAGUUAAGAAUUCAACACAAGAAGUUGCAAAAGAGCAACAGAACAAAUCAAAAUAAACAAAAAGGAAAGAAAUAAGAAAUAUGAGGGCAGGAAUCAAUGGAGAGCAUACAAACAAAUAAAAACAACAGAGAAGACUGAUAACUAAAAGCUUCUUUUUCAUUUUGGAAAUAUAAACAGCAGAAACCACCCUAUUACUAUUUAAUAAUUAAUAAAGAUAUAAAUUAACACAGACUAAUCAGGGAAAAAGAUUUAAUAAGGAAAAUACAGAUCUUUUCAACAGAAAAAGCUAUAGAUACAGAGAUACAAAAAUGAUAAGAGAACUAAGUUAUGAAUAACUUUAUCCUACUAAAUUUGGAAACCCUGUAUGAAAUGAAAACAUCUGGAGAACAUGAUUAAAUGCCUAUAUUGGUAAAAGAAUAGAAAAUUUGAAUAAAGAAAUAAGCACUAAAAAUUAAAAGAGUAAUCAAAGAGCUCCUCUCCGAAAAGGUACCUUGCCCUUACAGUUUUACAGUUCAAUUCUAGCAAUCUCAAAAUAGAAAAACACUAAAAUCUGUCUCCAUCAUUUUUAAGUUGAAGAUAAUCUUUAUCCAACGUUUGAUAAGGACAAUACAAGAAAAGAAAAUUACUAAUCUCUUUGGCUUAUGAUCACAGAUAUAAAAGUCCUAAAUAAAAUAUUGUAGUAGCUUGUUAAAUGUUAAUAGUUAAAAAAAUUAAUGUAUUGUCAUUUGGGAGGUUCAUUCAGGAAUCAAAGGAUGACAACAUAGUAAUAUAGUCACCACAUUAAGAGACUAAAGGAGAAAAAAAAAUCACAUAUUUAUCUCAGUAGAUUAAGAAAGCUCAAUACCUAUUUGUAAUGAAAAACUUAAAGCACAAAUUAUACUUAAUGGAGAAAAAUGCAUUCCCUUUAAGAUCAGGAACAAGACAAGCAUCGCCAUGAUCACUCACUAGUGUUAGCACAACACUGGGUUUCCUAGCCAACACUAUAAACAAAGAAAAAGAAAUAAGAGGUGUGAAUUAGUGGGAAGGAAUGAAACCGUCACUGUUUGCAGAGAAUGUGAUCAUCUACACAGCAAAAGCAACAGAUUCAACUAACUAUGAGAAGUAAGCAAGCUGGCCAGAUUCAAGAUCAGUUCAGGAAUAGCAAUAGAAUUUCUCCAGACCAGCAAAAACAGAUUAGAAAAUAUAUUUAAAAAGAAUAAUAUUCAUGGCAUCAACCAAAACUAUGAACUAUUUAGAGAUUAACAAAAAAAUAGACAAGACCUCUACGGGAGAAAUAUUAAAAUUCUUAAAGCCUUUAAAAGUAAGCCCUGAAUAAAUGGUUAGAGUAAUUUCUAUGUAUUUGAGUGAGAUGACAAUAUAAAAUUACGUUUAUUUUCUCAAAUUAACUUAUAUAGUCAAGGCAAUCCCAACAAAAUUCUAGUAGGACUACUUGUUGGAGUUUGAUAGAUGUGUUUGGAGAGUUGUAUGGGAAAAAUAAAGGUUCACGAAGAACUCACAAGUUUGAAAAAGGAGAAUGAGGAGAGAGAAUUCACCCUAUCAGAUAUAGACACGAUACCAGUCUUGUUGUGGCAAAAAACAGACAACAGAGCAGUGUAACAGAGCAGAGCGCUCAGCUGCAGACCAUGUGUAUAAAGGAAUUUAAGAAGUGAUAAAGAUGACCUACUUAAGAUUGGAUCCUGUGGCAGAUUCUAUUCCCAAAGAUGAUUGCGGCAUUCUCUCUUUUCCCCCCAAGGGCUUUCUACAAUGUGACUUUGACUGUUUUCCUACUGAGAGGUGGGGCAUAUGUUCCCUCCCCUUGAUUCUGGGCAGGUUUUGACUACAAUCGAAGUAACGCUAAGUGAAUUCUGAAGCUUGGGUGUAUGAAGUGGUACAGACUUUGCCUUUUGUUUUUGCCUUGGAACUCAGCCAUCAUAACGGGAGGAGGCCCAAACAGCCUGUGAUGAGUGAGGUGCAAGUGGAAAGGAACUGUGGCCGCCAGCCCUCAGCCUUAGCCAAACUCCCAGCUGCCAGCCAGCAGGAACCUGCCAGCCAUAAGUGAGCCAUCUUGAAAGCGCAUCCUUCAGCCCCAGUCAAGCCAUCUCAGCUGGCGCUGUGUGGCACAAAGAUGAACCAUCCUUGUUCAUCCCUACCUACAAUGCAGCAAAACUACAGUGCGUUGUUCCCAGGUUCACCUCUGGGAUGAGAUCUGGACGAGAAUAAUCAUGCCUGCCCCUUCACCUCUGGCCGCACUCUGAGAAGUGCCAAGAAGGUCAUAUCAAAGACCCAGAGGGGAGAGAUGGAGCUAAGUGGUUCCAAACAUUUAGAGCACGGAAUUGAGCUACUUUUUCAAAAUGGAGAAUGCAGGUUUGAACUCUACCUGGGAUGAGUGACAAUGGGAACAUCUGGGUUUUUUUUCAGAGAAGAAUCCACCCUUAUGGUGUUGUGGCCCUUUGGGCUUACUAAGACGGUCAUACAACCCCAAAGCGAGUACACAUCCCCAAAUCCAGGCUGUUCAGCUUUAUAAAUGUCAACUAUGGGGCAUCAAUAGCCCAACCCAGGUAAGGCCUAAGCCACUUCCUUUUAUUUUUCAAUAUUCUUUUAUUACAAAAGUAAUAUUAAAGUGUUAACAUUUAAGACAAAAAAUGAGUUUUAUGUA